ACACCUCAGGCUCCCACCCUCAGCAGACAUGGCGGAUGAGCCUCAGCACCCUGUGAAUCCACAGCCAUAGCACACUGCUGAAGCUGGAGAACCUGGUCCAUGAAACAUCGGAGUGCUGAGCUGGGAAUGAGAGACGUAACGGAGGAGAAGUGCCAGCAGCACUGCCAGACUGGUGAAAAUGCUAAAUAUUUAAAUUGGAAAUGAACUUCUACAGUUACAGCCUGGCCUUCAUAUUCCACCAUUAUUAAAUUGGAGUUCAAGA